rnacentral:rRNA from 1 species
AACGUCCUAUCAGGUUGUUGGUGAGGUAAUGGCUCACCAAGCCGAAGACGGGUAGCGGGUGUGAGAGCAUGACCCGCCGCAUCGGGACUGAGACACUGCCCGGACUCCUACGGGAGGCUGCAGUAACGAAUAUUCCGCAAUGCGCGAAAGCGUGACGGAGCAAUGCCGCGUGCAGGAUGAAGCCCCUCGGGGUGUAAAACUGCUGUCAGGGGUUACCAAGCUCUGAGGAGCCCCAAAGGAAGGGCCGGCUAACUUCGUGCCAGCAGCCGCGGUAAUACGAAGGGCCCGAGCGUUAAUCGGAAUCAUUGGGCUUAAAGCGUACGUAGGCGGGCGCGCAGGCAUCUUGUGAAAUCCCUCCGCUCAACGGAGGAACUGCAGGGUGAACCGCGUGCCUUGAGACAGGUAGGGGCUGUCGGAACGCUAGGUGGAGUGGUGAAAUGCGUUGAUAUCUAGCGGAACGCCAAAGGAGAAAUCAGGCAGCUGGGCCUGUUCUGACGCUGAGGUACGAAAGCGUGGGGAGCGAACGGGAUUAGAUACCCCGGUAGUCCACGCUGUAAACGAUGUGCACUAGAUCGAGGGGGUUCUGACACUGCUCUCGGUCGAAGCGAAAGUGUUAAGUGCACCGCCUGGGGAGUACGGUCGCAAGGCUAAAACUCAAAGGAAUUGACGGGGGCUCACACAAGCGGUGGAGCAUGUGGCUUAAUUCGAAGCAACGCGAAGAACCUUAUCCUGGGUUUGACAUGUACGGAUUAACUCCUGGAAACAGGAGCCACGCCCUUCGGGUGGAACGUACACAGGUGCUGCAUGGCUGUCGUCAGCUCGUGCUGUGAAGUGUCGGGUUAAGUCCCUUAACGAGCGCAACCCCUAUCGCUAGUUGCCAGCGCGUCAUGGCGGGGACUCUAGCGAGACUGCCGGUGUCAAACCGGAGGAAGGUGGGGACGACGUCAAGUCCGCAUGGCCUUUAUGCCCAGGGCUGCACACGUGCUACAAUGGCCGGUACAGAACGAUGCAAGACCGCGAGGUGGAGCAAGUCGCUAAAACCGGCCCCAGUUCAGAUUGGAGGCUGCAACUCGCCUCCAUGAAGUCGGAAUCGCUAGUAAUCGGGGAUCAGCUACGCC